UUAUAAGGCUGAGAUCUGAUGCAUAGCCCUCACGGGCGAAUUCGGUGAUCCUAUGCUGCCAAGAAAAGCAUCGACGCGAGGUUCAAGUCACCCGUACCCCAAACCGACUCAGGUGGUCAGGUAGAGAAUACCAAGGAGAUCGAGAGAAUCGUGGUUAAGGAACUCGGCAAAAUGCCCCCGUAACUUCGGGAGAAGGGGGGCCUGAGGCGUGAAGGGAUUUACUCCUGGAGCGUUUGAUGGCCGCAGAGACCAGUGGGAAGCGACUGUUUACUAAAAACACAGGUCCGUGCUAAGUCGCAAGACGAUGUAUACGGACUGACGCCUGCCCGGUGCUGGAAGGUUAAGAGGAACGGUUAGCCGCAAGGCGAAGCUGAGAAUUUAAGCCCCAGUAAACGGCGGUGUAACUAUAACCAUCCUAAGGUAGCGAAAUUCCUUGUCGGGUAAGUUCCGACCUGCACGAAUGGCGUAACGACUUCCCAGCUGUCUCAACCGCGAACUCGGCGAAAUUGCACUACGAGUAAAGAUGCUCGUUACGCGCAGAAGGACGGAAAGACCCCGUGACCUUUACUAUAGCUUUGUAUUGGUGUUCGGUGUGGCUUGUGCAGGAUAGGUGGGAGACUGUGAAGCUUGGACGCUAGUUCAGGUGGAGUCAUUGUUGAAAUACCACUCUGGUCACUCUGGAUAUCUAACUUCGAACCGUGAUCCGGUUCAGGGACAGUCCAUGGGUAGUUUAACUGGGGCGGUUGCCUCCCAAAAAGUAACGGAGGCGCCCAAAGGUUCCCUCAACCUGGUUGGCAAUCAGGUGUCGAGUGUAAGUGCACAAGGGAGCUUGACUGUGAGACUGACAAGUCGAGCAGGGACGAAAGUCGGGACUAGUGAUCCGGCAGUGGCUUGUGGAAGCGCUGUCGCUCAACGGAUAAAAGGUACCUCGGGGAUAACAGGCUGAUCUUGCCCAAGAGUCCAUAUCGACGGCAUGGUUUGGCACCUCGAUGUCGGCUCGUCGCAUCCUGGGGCUGGAGUAGGUCCCAAGGGUUGGGCUGUUCGCCCAUUAAAGCGGUACGCGAGCUGGGUUUAGAACGUCGUGAGACAGUUCGGUCCCUAUCCUCUGCGCGCGCAGGAAAUUUGAGAAGAGCUAUCCCCUUACGAGAGGACCGGGAUGGACGAACCUCUGGUGUGUCAGUUGUUCCGCCAGGAGCACCGCUGAUUAGCUACGUUCGGAACGGAUAACCGCUGAAAGCAUCUAAGCGGGAAGCCGGCUUCAAGAUGAGAUUUCCAUGACUUCGGUCGAGAGGCUCCCAGCUAGACUACUGGGUUGAUAGGCGGGAUGUGGAAGCGAGGACUAAAGACUCGUGGAGCUGACCCGUACUAAUAAGCCGAUAAAUUGAU
rnacentral:rRNA from 1 species